ACUGGGCUGCACACUGAACACAGUGCUGGACUUCUCGGGGAACUCCAGAAAGUUCUACUCUCACAUAGGGGGCUCUGAUCUCCCCAAAAAUGGAUGCACUUGGACACAUACAGUACAACAGACCUGUGCACAGACAGACAGACUUGGACACACCAAGGCGCCCUCAGCAUGCCCUCCUGCUCUGCACACCUGUUGCUGAUUCCCUCAUCAGCCCUCCUGCUGCCUCCCCAGCUGCACCUCAUUACACUAAUUAAUCUUUGCCUGUAAAGAUGAUCAGUCGCGGGAUCAUGAGACACUGAAAGCAGGGAAGUGAGACAGCACCAGGGUCAUCCAGGUCAUGGUAUAUCUCUAAGAAGUGCUCAACUAAAAGCAACUUGACUUACUUUAGACGAAGAGAAACAUCAGUGUCUUAAUGCACCUCCUAACCCUAACCAGAGGGAACUUUGUUGGUGGUGGGGAAGAAAAACAGGAGAUGGAGGAGAACCUGAGAGGACAUUACUGCUGCUCUUUCUUCAUAGAAAUUGGAAGUUAAUUUCUUUGCUUAACAGCCAUAUUUCAUCCAGCCAAACUAUGGAUGUUUUAUGGCACAAAACAAGUAGAGAGUGCUAGUCCUCCAGCACAAAGGAGGCCAAGACUGCCAGAAUUAUUGUUGUUGCAGAACAGAGGGAAAACGUGAGAGUGUACAGAGCCUGGCAGCUGAGAGGCGGACCAAUCAGUCAGCUAUGGAGGGUUUAAAUGACGAUGUGAUUGCCAUGACCUCUCCAUACCAUACAUCCUUCACAUCACUAAAAGCUAUUUUCAGGCAUACAAGGGGGAUUAGGCUUGAGCACACAGGCUCAAAGACAUGCACAGAAUGAUCAUUUAUCAGAUUUAAAUAUAAAAAAUGCACAACAUCAGAACUUAAAAUCUUGUAUCAAUAAAUUCACCUUCUUCAAAUUCCAACAUCUUAUGUGUCCAUAUGACAUAAGUGUUGACAUUUACAUCUUAAUUCAAACAUAUGUAUAUGGGAGAUUUUCUAUUUUCUUAUUAAAUCGUCUCACCUAACUCUUGGC